UACGAAGGGGGCUAGCGUUGCUCGGAAUCACUGGGCGUAAAGCGCACGUAGGCGGAUUGCUAAGUCAGGGGUGAAAUCCUGGAGCUCAACUCCAGAACUGCCCUUGAUACUGGCGGUCUCGAGUCCGGGAGAGGUGAGUGGAACUGCGAGUGUAGAGGUGAAAUUCGUAGAUAUUCGCAAGGACACCAGUGGCGAAGGCGGCUCACUGGCCCGGUACUGACGCUGAGGUGCGAAAGCGUGGGGAGCAAACAGG
rnacentral:rRNA from 1 species